rnacentral:rRNA from 1 species
GGAAAAAGGGGAGUCAGCACUCACAUGCAAGUCGAACGGUGAACUUGGGAGCUUGCUCCUAGGGGAUCAGUGGCGAACGGGUGAGUAACACGUGAGUAACCUGCCCUUGACUCUGGGAUAAGCGUUGGAAACGACGUCUAAUACCGGAUACGAGCUUCAGCCGCAUGGCUAGGAGCUGGAAAGAAUUUCGGUCAAGGAUGGACUCGCGGCCUAUCAGCUAGUUGGUGAGGUAAUGGCUCACCAAGGCGACGACGGGUAGCCGGCCUGAGAGGGUGACCGGCCACACUGGGACUGAGACACGGCCCAGACUCCUACGGGAGGCAGCAGUGGGGAAUAUUGCACAAUGGGCGCAAGCCUGAUGCAGCAACGCCGCGUGAGGGACGACGGCCUUCGGGUUGUAAACCUCUUUUAGUAGGGAAGAAGCGAAAGUGACGGUACCUGCAGAAAAAGCACCGGCUAACUACGUGCCAGCAGCCGCGGUAAUACGUAGGGUGCAAGCGUUAUCCGGAAUUAUUGGGCGUAAAGAGCUCGUAGGCGGUUUGUCGCGUCUGCUGUGAAAACCCGAGGCUCAACCUCGGGCCUGCAGUGGGUACGGGCAGACUAGAGUGCGGUAGGGGAGAUUGGAAUUCCUGGUGUAGCGGUGGAAUGCGCAGAUAUCAGGAGGAACACCGAUGGCGAAGGCAGAUCUCUGGGCCGUUACUGACGCUGAGGAGCGAAAGCAUGGGGAGCGAACAGGAUUAGAUACCCUGGUAGUCCAUGCCGUAAACGUUGGGAACUAGAUGUAGGGACCAUUCCACGGUUUCUGUGUCGCAGCUAACGCAUUAAGUUCCCCGCCUGGGGAGUACGGCCGCAAGGCUAAAACUCAAAGGAAUUGACGGGGGCCCGCACAAGCGGCGGAGCAUGCGGAUUAAUUCGAUGCAACGCGAAGAACCUUACCAAGGCUUGACAUAUACCGGAAAAGUUCAGAAAUGUUCUCCCCGCAAGGUCGGUAUACAGGUGGUGCAUGGUUGUCGUCAGCUCGUGUCGUGAGAUGUUGGGUUAAGUCCCGCAACGAGCGCAACCCUCGUUCUAUGUUGCCAGCACGUAAUGGUGGGAACUCAUAGGAGACUGCCGUGGUCAACACGGAGGAAGGUGGGGAUGACGUCAAAUCAUCAUGCCCCUUAUGUCUUGGGCUUCACGCAUGCUACAAUGGCCGAUACAAAGGGCUGCAAUACCGUAAGGUGGAGCGAAUCCCAAAAAGUCGGUCUCAGUUCGGAUUGAGGUCUGCAACUCGACCUCAUGAAGUCGGAGUCGCUAGUAAUCGCAGAUCAGCAACGCUGCGGUGAAUACGUUCCCGGGCCUUGUACACACCGCCCGUCAAGUCAUGAAAGUCGGUAACACCCGAAGCCAGUGGCCUAACCGCAAGGAAGGAGCUCCUAUAUAGUAGUAUGCCUUCGUA